GUGCUCACUCUGACAGCAAAUAUACUAAAAUUGGAACGCUACAGAGAAGAUUAACAUGGUCCCUGUGCAAGGAUGACAUGCAAAUUCAUGAAGUGUUCCAUAUUUUA
ensembl:snRNA Gm26314 U6 spliceosomal RNA